ensembl:snoRNA U3 Small nucleolar RNA U3
AAGACUAUACUUUCAGGGAUUAUUUCUGUAGUUUAUUACUAGGGAAGUUUUUCUGAACGUGUAAGGCAAUGGAACUUGCGAGGAAGAGGUGUAAUGUUUUCUCCUGAGCGUGAAACUGGCUGUUGGUGUUGCUUCAGUGACACUGCUGACUCUUUUUGAUGAUCAUUCUUCUCUCUUUGGAGAGUAGGAUUCUUUCCUCUUUGGAAA